rnacentral:rRNA from 1 species
AUUGAACGCUGGCGGCAGGCUUAACACAUGCAAGUCGAGCGGGGUGAUGGUGCUUGCACUAUCACUUAGCGGCAGACGGGUGAGUAAUGCUUAGGAAUCUGCCUAUUAGUGGGGGACAACAUCUCGAAAGGGAUGCUAAUACCGCAUACGUCCUACGGGAGAAAGCAGGGGAUCACUUGUGCCCUUGCGCUAAUAGAUGAGCCUAAGUCGGGUUAGCGAGUUGGUGGGGUAAAGGCCUGCCAAGGCGACGAUCUGGAGCGGGUCUGAGAGGAUGAUCCGCCACACUGGGACUGAGACACGGCCCAGACUGCUACGGGAGGCAGCAGUGGGGAAUAUUGGACAAUGGGGGGAACCCUGAUCCAGCCAUGCCGCGUGUGUGAAGAAGGCCUUAUGGUUGUAAAGCACUUUAAGCGAGGAGGAGGCUCUUUUGGUUAAUACCCAAGAUGAGUGGACGUUACUCGCAGAAUAAGCACCGGCUAACUCUGUGCCAGCCGCCGCCGUAA